UNUCGCUAUAGGAUGGGCCCGCGGCGCAUUAGCUAGUUGGUGAGGUAACGGCUCACCAAGGCGACGAUGCGUAGCCGACCUGAGAGGGUGAUCGGCCACACUGGGACUGAGACACGGCCCAGACUCCUACGGGAGGCAGCAGUAGGGAAUCUUCCACAAUGGGCGAAAGCCUGAUGGAGCAACNCCGCGUGAGUGAAGAAGGUUUUCGGAUCGUAAAACUCUGUUGUAAGGGAAGAACAAGUACAGUAGUAACUGGCUGUACCUGACGGUACCUUAUUAGAAAGCCACGGCUAACUACGUGCCAGCAGCCGCGGUAAUACGUAGGUGGCAAGCGUUGUCCGGAAUUAUUGGGCGUAAAGCGCGCGCAGGCGGUCCUUUAAGUCUGAUGUGAAAGCCCACGGCUCAACCGUGGAGGGUCAUUGGAAACUGGAGGACUUGAGUGCAGA
rnacentral:rRNA from 1 species